GUGGAAGGAUUGCUUCAGACCAGGAGGUUGGGGCUGCGAUGAGUCAUGUCUGCCCCACUGCACUCCAGCCUAGGCAAUAGAGGGAGACCCUGUCUCAAAAACAAAAAACAAACAAAAACCCUGAGUCCUUAAUCUCCUCCCUGUCCCUUCCCACUGCAAACCUAGUCCUCACGCAGCCUUCCCCACCUUGGUGGCAGUGAUAGCCUUCCAGCCACUCCCUGUCUACUUAUCUCUCAUAUCCUGCAGCCCUUCCCUCAGCAAAUGCUCUGGUUGGUUCUACCUUCGGGUUAUAGGCAGAAUCCAGUGACUUCUUAUCAUUUCCACUAUAAGCCAGCCUUAUUUCUUGCCUGGGAUGUGGAAUAGCAUUUUGUCCAUUCUUCCUGUUUCUGCUUCUUUCUGUCUUCAGUUCACCUUCAACACAGUGGCCAGGGAGAUCCUUUUAGGAUUUGGCAGUCAUGCCAUUCCUCUACCCAAACUGCCCAUCUUCCCCUUCACCCUCCUUGCUCCAUUUUCUUCUGAGAACUGAUCACCUGGUAGCACGAUUCAUAGCAAGUGAAACAUUCCAGAUGUUAAAAGCGUGGACAGUGAGGUCCAUGGACCGGCAGGAUCAGCAGCCCCAGAAGCUCCUUGGACCUGCAAGACCCUCCGGCCCCACCACAGCCCUACUGAACCAGGAUCAGACUUUAAAAAAGAAUCCAAUGCCAGUUUGAGAAGCCCAACUCAAAAAUCUAGACCAACAACCUGGUCUACCUUCCUGGCCAAGUCUCGCCACAUGGCAUCAUUUCCUCCUCACCUGCAGAAUCGCUGUGACUUAUGGCUCCUCUGAUUGCACCUGCUUUCACCAGCAGCCCUGGAAGAGAGCUCUUCUGUGUGGAUAAGAGUUGAGAGAUCUUGGUUUCAUUACUUGUUUAAAUUGGACCCUCUCAAAUGAAUGUAAGCACAUAAUGGGGGGACUACACUAUGAGAUUAAAAGGAAUCCAGCUGUUACCAGAAAUGGGUGCCUGCCAGGUUUAUCCACCAAAUUCUUUCCACUUCAUGUCAUUAAAAUAAAAUUUGAGUUUUAAAAUGAAAAUUUCUCAGAUUGAUAUGAAUUUGUCUCAUUGAUUUUAUUAAUAUAGCCAGUUAACAUAACAAUUCUAUCAUACAAGGAAAUGAGAAUAAUACAAAAGCAAAAAUAAGGGUAGGG
rnacentral:lncRNA from 10 species